AGCUCCAAUAGCGUAUAUUAAAGUUGUUGCGGUUAAAAAGCUCGUAGUUGGAUUUCUGUUGAAAACGGCCCGUCCGCAUUUUGUGCGUGUAUGUGGCUUGGUUUCGGCAUCCUUUCAAAGAACGCAACUGUAAUUCAGUUUAUGGGGCGGUACUUUGGAACUUUUACUUUGAGGAAAUUAGAGUGUUCACGGCAGGCAAUCGCCUUGAAUAUAUUAGCAUGGAAUAAUACUAUAGGAUCUUGGGUCUAUUUUGUUGGUUUCUAGAACUAAGAUAAUGAUUAAU
rnacentral:rRNA from 1 species